AACGUAGGACGCAAGCGUUAUCCGGAGUUACUGGGCGUAAAGCGCGGGCAGGCGGCUCGAAACGUCUGAUGUGAAAUCUCCUCGCUCAACGAGGAGAGGCCAUUGGAAACGGUCGAGCUGGAGGGCAGUAGAGGUAGGCGGAAUUCCGGGUGGAGUGGUGAAAUGCGUAGAGAUCCGGAGGAACACCAGAGGCGAAGGCGGCCUACUGGGCUGGCACCUGACGCUGAGCCGCGAAAGCCAGGGGAGCGAACGG
rnacentral:rRNA from 1 species